rnacentral:rRNA from 1 species
AUUGAACGCUGGCGGCAGGCUUAACACAUGCAAGUCGGGCGGAGAUGAGGUGCUUGCACCUUAUCUUAGCGGCGGACGGGUGAGUAAUGCUUAGGAAUCUGCCUAUUAGUGGGGGACAACAUUCCGAAAGGAAUGCUUAUACCGCAUACGUCCUACGGGAGAAAGCAGGGGAUCUUCGGACCUUGCGCUAAUAGAUGAGCCUAAGUCGGAUUAGCUAGUUGGUGGGGUAAAGGCCUACCAAGGCGACGAUCUGUAGCGGUUCUGAGAGGAUGAUCCGCCACACUGGGACUGAGACACGGCCCAGACUCCUACGGGAGGCAGCAGUGGGGAAUAUUGGACAAUGGGGGGAACCCUGAUCCAGCCAUGCCGCGUGUGUGAAGAAGGCCUUAUGGUUGUAAAGCACUUUAAGCGAGGAGGAGGCUACUGAGACUAAUACUCUUGGAUAGUGGACGUUACUCGCAGAAUAAGCACCGGCUAACUCUGUGCCAGCCGCCGCGGUAA